CAAUCCAUGUGCUUCUCUUGUCCUUCAUUCCACCGGAGUCUGUCUCGUACCCAACCAGAUUUCAGUGGAGUGAAGUUCAGGAGGCAUGGAGCUG
rnacentral:pre_miRNA from 1 species